rnacentral:rRNA from 1 species
AGAACGAACGCUGGCGGCGUGCUUAAGACAUGCAAGUCGUACGGAAAGGCCCCCUUCGGGGGGUACUCGAGUGGCGCACGGGUGAGUAACGCGUGGGUAAUCUACCUUCGGGUCUGGGACAACCUCGGGAAACUGGGGCUAAUACCAGAUAAGACCACGAGCCCUUCGGGGUUCGCGGAAAAAGAUGGCCUCUCCUUGGAAGCUAUCGCCCGUCGAUGAGCCUGCGUCCCAUUAGCUAGUUGGUGAGGUAACGGCUUACCAAGGCUUCGAUGGGUAGCUGGUCUGAGAGGAUGAUCAGCCACACUGGAACUGAGAUACGGUCCAGACCUUCCGUAACGGGAGGCGAGCGAGUACGGGUAAGUUUGGUCAAGUAGGGCGGAAAGCCGUCGAACCCGACG